rnacentral:rRNA from 1 species
UUGGAGGGCAAGUCUGGUGCCAGCAGCCGCGGUAAUUCCAGCUCCAAUAGCGUAUAUUAAAGUUGUUGCAGUUAAAAAGCUCGUAGUUGAAUUUCGGGAUCAAUUUAUUGGUCGUGUCAACGGUACGCACUGGUACAAUUGGUUUCUCCCUUCUGACGAAGCAUGAUGUCAUUAAUUUGAUGUCGUGGGGAAUCAGGACUGUUACUUUGAAAAAAUUAGAGUGUUUAAAGCAGGCUUUGGCUUGAAUACAUUAGCAUGGAAUAAUGAAAUAGGACGUUUGAUCUUAUUUCGUUGGUUUCUAAGAUCGACGUAAUGAUUAAUAGGGAUAGUUGGGGGCAUUAGUAUUCAAUUGUCAGAGGUGAAAUUCUUGGAUUUAUUGAAGACUAACUACUGCGAAAGCAUUUGCCAAGGAUGUUUUCAUUAAUCAAGAACGAAAGUUAGGGGAUCGAAGACGAUCAGAUACCGUCGUAGUCUUAACCAUAAACUAUGCCGACUAGGGAUCGGAUGAUGUUAAUUUUUUAAUGACUCAUUCGGCGCCUUACGGGAAAC